rnacentral:snoRNA from 1 species
GGGUCUAUGGUGACAACCAAAGGCAUGAAGAGAGGUAAUGACAAAAUAUCAUGCAGAGGUUGUGGCUGCUGAGGCCC